CAGAUUUGGAUUUUCUAUUUCAUAGUUAUUGAAAUCAUAAUGAGAAUGAAGUACUGCCACUAAGGUAAAGGUGCUAACUUGCAAGGAGCUGUUCUCAAAACAUUGGGUGACAAAGAAUUCACUUUUACAAAAAUCGAGCAGGAUAUUAAAGACAGCGAACUAUAGAACAAAUAUGGCGAAGCUGCAUGAAGUCUAUGUUGAAUUUUAUUAUUGAAAAAAAUAUGCUCUUCAGAUUUAAUGUUAGUUUUUAUUGUUUAACAGUAAUUGCAGUUUUCGAAUACCUGUAAAAUAAACCUAAUUCUUAAAUUAA